ensembl:misc_RNA Metazoa_SRP Metazoan signal recognition particle RNA
GCUGGGCAUGGUGGCUCAUGCCUGUAAUCCCAGCACUUUGGGAGGCUGAGGUGGGAGGAUCACUUGAGGUCAGGAGUUCGAGACCAUCCUGGCCAACAUGGUGAAAACCCAUCUCUA